GACAUAGGUGGCGAACGUUAUCCGGAAUUAUUGGGCGUAAAGGAUGCGUAGAUGGUAGAAUAAGUUAUUGGUCGAUGCCAAACUCAAUUUGGCGGAAGCUGGUAAUACUGUUCAGCUAGAGGGCAGGAGAGGUUGAUGGAAUUCUGUGUGGAGCGGUGAAAUGCGUUGAUCUGCAGAGGAACACCAAAAAAGGCGAAGGCAGUCAACUAUUCUGUUCCUGACAUUGAGG
rnacentral:rRNA from 1 species